CCCUGGAAAUGUUCUAUCAUUAACAAAUGUCUGAGGGUUUAAUGUUCUCUCUGAAAGUUCCGAAAAUGACAUAGACAAUGUCUAAUUAUUAGCUUGCACAGUAUGACCAGCAUCAACAUUGUUACAUUUUGCAUAAUUUCAUGGACAGAAUCUGUUUUACUUAAAUAUCAUCAGAGGAAUUUACUCUAGAUCAAUGGGCAGGCUGGUAGCAAUUUUAAGAUGAUUGUGUAGACAUAGCCUAUACCAGGGGCAAAUCCAUCUCAUCUUAAGUGAUCAAAAAAGAAGUGGCACAAUGUUUUGAUAUAUUAAUUGAGAUGGAGUCUUCCUACAUUGCCCAAGCUGAUCUUGAACUCCUGGGCUAAAGUGACCCUCCUGCCUUGGCCUCCCAAAAUGCUGGGAUUAUAUGGGAAAGAGUUCUACAGUUAAAUUUGAAAUGAUGGACAACUUGACCCCAAGAAGACCUUGCUGUAAUUUGAUUUCCUGUUGGCUGUCUCAAAGGUGAGAUAAGAUUAGAGGAAACGGUGAGUAACUUAGACUAAAAGGCACUGAAAACAUGGAAAACUUGUUUGCUUAGAGGCAUUUUAAUCCAUACAAUCACAGUCAAAUUUCCAAUUAUGUUUCAUAUCAGAUGGUGGCCUGGUAGGUAUUUCCUGCUGUGAUUAUGAACUCUGGACUGAAACACAAUUGAAGAACAGGGUAAUUUAAGCAGGUAUUGAAUUUCAAAUGCAAGGUCUCACUUAAAUGUAGGUAGAAGAGGCUACCUAUAUUUAAAGAACAGUGCAGAUAUUAAUAUCAGAGAAAACAGAAAGUUGACACAGAAGAGUCAAGAAGUCCAAAAGACGGUUGUUUGAGAAGGUCACUGACAUUGAUAAAAUCGACAUUAGGAGUAUGUGGGAAUCACUGAGAAGGAAUUACUGGACUUUGUGCUCUUUCCCAGUUACCCAAACAACUUUAUCACUCACUUCAUUGGUUAAGACAUUGAGAAUCAAUCAGUUGGAAAAUAAAGUUUGAAUGGAAUAAAAUGUGAAGUCAUCACCAGCUAUUAAUAUCUUAUGGUUAUUGAGAUAUUAAUAACUAGGUUAGUUG